rnacentral:lncRNA from 1 species
ACUGUUGAGCCAAGUCCUUGGUUUCUAUUACCUGCUCAACUCCUUCUGUGCAUAGCUCCUGACUGCCGAGCUGGGAAGAACUCCAGUCCUUUCCUAGGCUAGGGAUUUUAACAACGGAACAAAAUCCCAGUGCUCUUCAAGGUGACAAGGGGAACCACUAAGGUUUCACAAGGCACAGUUUGUGAACAACUGAUUGGAGCCAGCCUCAUCAGGCUAGAUGUACCUAUAGCAACCAGCAUGGAUCUCAAAAACAUAGUACCAAACGAAAUAAGACAGACUGAGGAGAUGUCCCUGAGGAACCCUGGUAUCUGAGAAAUCCUACCUGGAAACUUCUGGCCUAUGAAAUCCAAACAGCCAAUCAAGGUGCUCAUUUGCUUCAAGAUCAUGGUCUCCGGAGAGGCAAAUUGCCAUGUACAGUUCCAUCUGGUAUCUCUGCUGGGCUGCUCACCUGGUCCACCCUUCAAGAUGGCAUUGGUCUAAACUUCCCACCAAACUAUCUAGUCUCACUCAGCUACUCGUACUCCCAGUCAGCCUAGUCCCAAGGGACCAUGAAGGGACCAUGCCUUCCUCUUGACCCUAAUGUCCCUUGUAUUUGUCAGACACCCUCCCAGAGGGCAGGGAACAGACUCUGGGGAGCCCUGAAACCAGAGAAACCCAGGACAAGCUAUUUCCAACUCAGAAUGUUCUGGCCACCCACCCAGGCUUUGUCUGAUUUCUGAUGUUCUUUAGAAUCUUCUCAUUACAUCACUAAGAAAAGCAUGAUUAAGUCCAUACACACACACACACACACACACGCACACACACAUACAUAUAAAAGAUAAAUGUGUAUCUUUAAUAACUUUUAUUAUGUUUUCUGAUUACAAAAGUAAUAUAUUGCCACAAUAUUAGAAGAACUGUAUCGAAUACAGAAAAUUAUAAAAAAUAAAAAAGAUAAAGUAUAAGGCCUCCACACAGAGAUAGGCAUUAUUAAUUCUUUGGUAUAGUCCCUUUGAAUAUUUUUAUAUGAAUACAUUCACAUUUGUUCAUACAAUUUAGAUUAUAAUUCUAUAACUAUAGGUUACAUGUCAUUGAAAAAUUCUUCAAGAACAAAAUUUUGAAUAACUCAAUUAUAUUUCUUCGAUUGGGGUAUACUUGUUCAAUAAACAAUAACUCACAUUUAU